rnacentral:rRNA from 1 species
UGGGGAAUAUUGGACAAUGGGCGCAAGCCUGAUCCAGCCAUGCCGCGUGAGUGGCGAAGGUCUUCGGAUUGUAAAGCUCUUUUGGCGGGGACGAUAAUGACGGUACCCGCAGAAUAAGCCCCGGCUAACUUCGUGCCAGCAGCCGCGGUAAUACGAAGGGGGCUAGCGUUGUUCGGAAUUACUGGGCGUAAAGCGCACGUAGGCGGAUUGCUAAGUCAGGGGUGAAAUCCCGGGGCUCAACCUCGGAACUGCCUUUGAUACUGACAGUCUUGAGUCCGGAAGAGGUGAGUGGAAUUCCUAGUGUAGAGGUGAAAUUCGUAGAUAUUAGAAAGAACACCAGUGGCGAAGGCGGCUCACUGGUCCGGUACUGACGCUGAGGUGCGAAAGCGUGGGGAGCAAACA